rnacentral:lncRNA from 1 species
GCUCUUUUAGUUCAGCAUUCCGAUUGCUCUUAUUUUCAUUUAAUUGACCAAUUAUAUGACUGAAAGAGGCAUAAUUUCUACUGCAAUCUCCUUGCUCUUAGCACCUCUUUUCACCAACUUGUUGCAAUCUCUCAAUUUUAUUUUUCAUAUUCAGAAUCUCCAAUCUUUGCCUCACUAUAACAUCUCUAGCUUGUGCAGAAAGAGGAGGAUCAAUCCAUUCAAAACAGUUGCAUGCUGUAGAUGACUGGAUUUAACCCAAAUAGUGGCCACUUAAAACAAAAAGUAUUUUUAAGAAAAAAAGCUUACCGGAUAUUUUGGGCAUCCAUAAAAUCUCUGCCAUGCACUC